AUUGAACGCUGGCGGCAGGCCUAACACAUGCAAGUCGAACGGUAGCACAGAGAGCUUGCUCUCGGGUGACGAGUGGCGGACGGGUGAGUAAUGUCUGGGAAGCUGCCCGAUGGAGGGGGAUAACUACUGGAAACGGUAGCUAAUACCGCAUAACGUCGCAAGAUCAAAGUGGGGGACCUUCGGGCCUCACACCAUCGGAUGUGCCCAGAUGGGAUUAGCUAGUAGGUGGGGCAAUGGCUCACCUAGGCGACGAUCCCUAGCUGGUCUGAGAGGAGGACCAGCCACACUGGAACUGAGACACGGUCCGGACUCCUACGGGAGGCAGCAGUGGGGAAUAUUGCACAAUGGGCGCAAGCCUGAUGCAGCCAUGCCGCGUGUAUGAAGAAGGCCUUCGGGUUGUAAAGUACUUUCAGCGGGGAGGAAGGCGGUGAAGUUAAUAACUUCACCGAUUGACGUUACCCGCAGAAGAAGCACCGGCUAACUCCGUGCCAGCCGCCGCCGCAG
rnacentral:rRNA from 1 species